UACGUAGGUGGCAAGCGUUGUCCGGAUUUACUGGGCGUAAAGAGCGCGCAGGCGGUCGUGCACGUCGCGUGUGAAAGCCCCCGGCUCAACUGGGGAGGGUCACGCGAUACUGCUCGACUCGAAGGCAGGAGAGGGAAGUGGAAUUCCCGGUGUAGUGGUGAAAUGCGCAGAUAUCAGGAAGAACACCCGUGGCGAAAGCGGCUCUCUGGAACGGUACUGACGCUGAGACGCGAAAGCGUGGGGAGCGAACAGG
rnacentral:rRNA from 1 species